GAUGAACGCUGGCGGCGUGCCUAAUACAUGCAAGUCGAGCGAACAGACGAGGAGCUUGCUCCUCUUACAUUAGCGGCGGACGGGUGAGUAACACGUGGAUAACCUACCUAUAAGACUGGGAUAACUUCGGGAAACCGGAGCUAAUACCGGAUAAUAUCUUUAACCGCAUGGUUCAAUAGUGAAAGACGGUUUUGCUGUCAUUUAUAAAUGGAUCCGCGCCGCAUUAGCUAGUUGGUAAGGUAACGGCUUACCAAGGCAACGUAGAGUAGCCGACCUGAGAGGGUGAUCGGCCAAACUGGAACUGAAACACGGUCAAGACUCCUACGGGAGGUGGAAGUAGGGAAUCUUCCGCAAUGGGCGAAAGCCUGACGGAGAAAGGCCGCGUGAGUGAUGAAGGUCUUCGAAUCGAAAAACUCUGUUAUAAGGGAAGAACAAAGGUGUAAGUAAAUAUGCACGACUUGACGGUACCUAAUCAGAAAGCCACGGCUAACUACGUG
rnacentral:rRNA from 1 species